rnacentral:rRNA from 1 species
UGGGGAAUUUUGGACAAUGGGCGCAAGCCUGAUCCAGCAAUGCCGCGUGCAGGAUGAAGGCCUUCGGGUUGUAAACUGCUUUUGUACGGAGCGAAAAGGUCUGCCCUAAUACGGUGGGCCCAUGACGGUACCGUAAGAAUAAGCACCGGCUAACUACGUGCCAGCAGCCGCGGUAAUACGUAGGGUGCAAGCGUUAAUCGGAAUUACUGGGCGUAAAGCGUGCGCAGGCGGUUAUGCAAGACAGAGGUGAAAUCCCCGGGCUCAACCUGGGAACUGCCUUUGUGACUGCAUAGCUGGAGUGCGGUAGAGGGGGGUGGAAUUCCGCGUGUAGCAGUGAAAUGCGUAGAUAUGCGGAGGAACACCGAUGGCGAAGGCAAUCCCCUGGACCUGUACUGACGCUCAUGCACGAAAGCGUGGGGAGCAAACA